AUACUUACCUGGGCAGGGGAGAUUCCAUGAUCAAGAAGGUGGUUUCCUCAGGGUGAGGCUCGCUCAUUGCACUUAGGGCGUGCUGACCCCUGCGAUUUCCCCAAAUGUGGGAAACUCAACUGUGUAAUUUAUGGUAGUGGUGGGACUUUUAAAAAUUAUUUUUU